rnacentral:lncRNA from 1 species
CUACAACUGUCCUCUCCCCACCCCGCACGGCUCGGGAGUCACAUCGGGAGGCCCCCAUCAUUGAGAGCAGUUGACAUUCAUUUCAUUGCUUUCAGGAGCAGUUACGCAAAAGAAAUAACCAAGCACUGGCACGAGGAGGAAGAAAGGAGAGAAAAAAAAGUCUAGAACACGAAACGAGUGGCCCAGCCCUUGGAUGUUCGGCCAUUGUUCUGGGAGCUGUGAAGCCAAGAGACGGAGAUGAGUGGACUGUGCAUUUGGGC